CAGUCGCCGCGGGAAUACGUAGGUCCCGAGCGUUGUCCGGAUUUAUUGGGCGUAAAGCGAGCGCAGGCGGUUAGAUAAGUCUGAAGUUAAAGGCUGUGGCUUAACCAUAGUACGCUUUGGAAACUGUUUAACUUGAGUGCAAGAGGGGAGAGUGGAAUUCCAUGUGUAGCGGUGAAAUGCGUAGAUAUAUGGAGGAACACCGGUGGCGAAAGCGGCUCUCUGGCUUGUAGCUGACGCUGAGGCUCGAAGGCGUGGGUAGCAAGCAGGAUUAGAUACCCGAGUAGUCCCUGUCUCUUAUACA
rnacentral:rRNA from 1 species